UACGAAGGGUGCAAGCGUUAAUCGGAAUUACUGGGCGUAAAGCGUGCGUAGGCGGUUUGUUAAGUCUGCUGUGAAAUCCCCGGGCUCAACCUGGGAAUGGCAGUGGAUACUGGCAAGCUAGAGUGUGUCAGAGGAUGGUGGAAUUCCCGGUGUAGCGGUGAAAUGCGUAGAGAUCGGGAGGAACAUCAGUGGCGAAGGCGGCCAUCUGGGACAACACUGACGCUGAGGCACGAAAGCGUGGGGAGCAAACAGGG
rnacentral:rRNA from 1 species